GGGAAGCGAAACCGCGAGGUAGAGCAAAUCCCCAAAAGCGGUCCCAGUUCGGAUUGUAGGCUGCAACCCGCCUACAUGAAGUUGGAAUUGCUAGUAAUCGCAGAUCAGAAUGCUGCGGUGAAUACGUUCCCGGGCCUUGUACACACCGCCCGUCACACCAUGGGAGCCGGUAAUACCCGAAGUCAGUAGUCUAACCGCAAGGGGGACGCUGCCGAAGGUAGGAUUGGCGACUGGGGUGAAGUCGUAACAAGGUAUC
rnacentral:rRNA from 1 species